UCCUUCGGGAUUAGUGGCGGACGGGUGAGUAACACGUGGGAACGUGCCUUUUGGUUCGGAACAACUCAGGGAAACUUGAGCUAAUACCGGAUGUGCCCUUCGGGGGAAAGAUUUAUCGCCAUUAGAGCGGCCCGCGUCUGAUUAGCUAGUUGGUGGGGUAAAGGCCUACCAAGGCUACGAUCAGUAGCUGGUCUGAGAGGAUGAUCAGCCACAUUGGGACUGAGACACGGCCCAA
rnacentral:rRNA from 1 species